AUUGAACGCUGGCGGCAGGCCUAACACAUGCAAGUCGAGCGGAGCGGCGGACGGGUGAGUAAUGCCUAGUAAUCUGCCUGGUAGUGGUGGACAACGUCCGGAAACGGGCGCUAAUACCGCAUACUAUCAGAUGAGCCUAGGUGGGAUUAGCUAGUUGGUGGGGUAAAGGCCUACCAAGGCGACGAUCCGUAACUGGUCUGAGAGGAUGAUCAGUCACACUGGAACUGAAACACGGGCCAGACUGCUACGGAAGGGAGCAGUGGGGAGUAUUGGACGAUGGGCGAAAGCCUGGUCCAGCCAUGCCGCGUGAGUGAAGAAGGUCUUCGGAUUGUAAAGCACUUUAAGUUGGGAAGCGUUACCAACAGAAUAAGCACCGGCUAACUUCGUGCCAGCCGCCGCGGUAAUUC
rnacentral:rRNA from 1 species